CUUCACGGAGCCCAGCAACAGCGGACGCUCCGGAUCCCGGUCGCGCCCGUACGUGGCCAGCAGGGCCUGCGCCUC
rnacentral:antisense_RNA from 1 species